rnacentral:rRNA from 1 species
GACAGAGGGUGCAAACGUUGUUCGGAAUUACUGGGCGUAAAGCGCGUGUAGGCGGCUCGGAAAGUCGGAUGUGAAAGCCCUGGGCUUAACCUAGGAAGUGCAUUCGAAACUCCCGAGCUUGAGUUCUGGAGAGGGAUGCGGAAUUCCAGGUGUGAGCGGUGAAAUGCGUAGAUAUCUGGAGGAACACCGGUGGCGAAGGCGGCAUCCUGGACCGGUAUUGACGCUGAGGCGCGAAAGCUAGGGGAGCAAACGGGG